GGCCGAGAUUGGACUCCAUGAUCCACCAAAAAUAGAAGAUUUCGCCUGCAAAGGGCAAGACUCGUGUCCGCCAUAUUCGGCAGACGCAUCCGGAAUUUCCUACGGCGAGGCAACUGGCAGACUGCAAUGAUCAUAACCGAGGCCUUGUCUGUCCUUUCCUCCUCUCCUGGACACAUACAAGCCCUAAUCCUUUCAUUCCCCAGCCUGCAUCUUUACUUCCUGUUGCUUAGAUCACACAGACACUCAAAAUCCUUUUUGCAGAGGUUGUCUUAAAUUGUAGACAUGGUGAAAACUUUACAUCUCUUAAAAUUAAAUCCAGUAUACGUCCAGAUACAUAUGUAACAUCAUUUAGCUUUAUAAUGAAAAAAACAUAAAAAUGAUGUCAAGAGUUCCGUUUACGCCCAACAUUAAACACUUUAUUGCA